UCGGUGGACGCACGACUAGUGGUGGUUGAAAAGACCCUCGUCCUGUGUUGUGCGUCGUAAGCUGUGAGGGAGGCCCUUCAUGAAGACCCCAAUGUGGUGUCUUGCGACGAUGCUUCGACC
rnacentral:misc_RNA from 1 species